rnacentral:ncRNA from 1 species
ACACCUCGCUUUGUUAGCGAGGCGGAUGGUAGGGCCCUGUGUCUCUUUUAGUAGCAAUACUAAUUGUAACUUGGCUAUAUCGGUGAACAUCCUGUUGAAAUAGGAAAACACCGAGGGAAGUCUUAAAUGACCCCGUAGAGACUACACGCCGAGCUCCUCGUUUCAAUUUGUGAAACGCGCGGACAGUCGCAGACUGGACGCGGACCAACGCAGAAUUUAUUUUCUGCGCAGGUCUGCGUAAAGUCAGUAUUGUUCCGCGCGCGAGCGAAGCGAGCGAGGAUGAAGAUAUAGUCCGACCUGCAUAGCGAUAUGCAG